CUUGGUCAUUUAGAGGAAGUAAAAGUCGUAACAAGGUCUCCGUUGGUGAACCAGCGGAGGGAUCAUUAAUGAGUUGUAAAACUCCAACCAUCGCGAAUAUCACCCAUUGCAGUUGCUUCGGCGGGUGGCCCUGAGAGGGGCCACGCUCUCCUACGGGGAGCAUGCCCGCCGGAGUCGUACAAACUCUUGUAUUUUUUUGGCAUCUCUGAGUAACUUUUACAAUAAGUUAAAACUUUCAACAACGGAUCUCUUGGUUCUGGCAUCGAUGAAGAACGCAGCGAAAUGCGAUAAGUAAUGUGAAUUGCAGAAUUCAGUGAAUCAUCGAAUCUUUGAACGCACAUUGCGCCCGCCAGUAUUCUGGCGGGCAUGCCUGUUCGAGCGUCAUUUCAACCAUCAAGCCCCAGGCUUGUGUUGGGGCUCUGCGGAGACGCAGACCCCUAAAAGCAGUGGCGGGCUCGCUGUCAUUCCGAGCGCAGUAUUGUAUCUUCGCUUUGGGCGUGGCGGCGGGUUCCAGCCGUGAAAUCACCUAUUUUCUCAAGGUUGACCUCGGAUCAGGUAGGAAUACCCGCUGAACUUAAGCAUAUCAAUAAGCGGAGGAAAAGAAACCAACAGGGAUUGCCCUAGUAACGGCGAGUGAAGCGGCAACAGCUCAAAUUUGAAAUCUGGCUCCGGCCCGAGUUGUAAUUUGCAGAGGAAGCUUCUGGUGCGGUACUGUCCGAGUCCCCUGGAACGGGGCGCCAUAGAGGGUGAGAGCCCCGUAUGGACGGAUGCCAAACCUGUGUGAAGCUCCUUCGACGAGUCGAGUUGUUUGGGAAU
rnacentral:sRNA from 1 species